GAGUUUGAUCAUGGCUCAGAUUGAACGCUGGCGGCAGGCCUAACACAUGCAAGUCGAACGGUAACAGGAAGCAGCUUGCUGCUUCGCUGACGAGUGGCGGACGGGUGAGUAAUGUCUGGGAAGCUGCCUGAUGGAGGGGGAUAACUACUGGAAACGGUAGCUAAUACCGCAUAAUGUCGCAAGACCAAAGAGGGGGACCUUCGGGCCUCUUGCCAUCGGAUGUGCCCAGAUGGGAUUAGCUUGUUGGUGGGGUAACGGCUCACCAAGGCGACGAUCCCUAGCUGGUCUGAGAGGAUGACCAGCCACACUGGAACUGAGACACGGUUCAGACUCCUACGGGAGGCAGCAGUGGGGAAUAUUGCACAAUGGGCGCAAGCCUGAUGCAGCCAUGCCGCGUGUAUGAAGAAGGCCUUCGGGUUGUAAAGUACUUUCAGCGGGGAGGAAGGGAGUAAAGUUAAUACCUUUGCUCAUUGACGUUACCCGCAGAAGAAGCACCGGCUAACUCCGUGCCAGCAGCCGCGGUAAUACGGAGGGUGCAAGCGUUAAUCGGAAUUACUGGGCGUAAAGCGCACGCAGGCGGUUUGUUAAGUCAGAUGUGAAAUCCCCGGGCUCAACCUGGGAACUGCAUCUGAUACUGGCAAGCUUGAGUCUCGUAGAGGGGGGUAGAAUUCCAGGUGUAGCGGUGAAAUGCGUAGAGAUCUGGAGGGAUACCGGUGGCGAAGGCGGCCCCCUGGACGAAGACUGACGCUCAGGUGCGAAAGCGUGGGGAGCAAACAGGAUUAGAUACCCUGGUAGUCCACGCCGUAAACGAUGUCGACUUGGAGGUUGUGCCCUUGAGGCGUGGCUUCCGGAGCUAACGCGUUAAGUCGACCGCCUGGGGAGUACGGCCGCAAGGUUAAAACUCAAAUGAAUUGACGGGGGCCCGCACAAGCGGUGGAGCAUGUGGUUUAAUUCGAUGCAACGCGAAGAACCUUACCUGGUCUUGACAUCCACGGAAGUUUUCAGAGAUGAGAAUGUGCCUUCGGGAACCGUGAGACAGGUGCUGCAUGGCUGUCGUCAGCUCGUGUUGUGAAAUGUUGGGUUAAGUCCCGCAACGAGCGCAACCCUUAUCCUUUGUUGCCAGCGGUCCGGCCGGGAACUCAAAGGAGACUGCCAGUGAUAAACUGGAGGAAGGUGGGGAUGACGUCAAGUCAUCAUGGCCCUUACGACCAGGGCUACACACGUGCUACAAUGGCGCAUACAAAGAGAAGCGACCUCGCGAGAGCAAGCGGACCUCAUAAAGUGCGUCGUAGUCCGGAUUGGAGUCUGCAACUCGACUCCAUGAAGUCGGAAUCGCUAGUAAUCGUGGAUCAGAAUGCCACGGUGAAUACGUUCCCGGGCCUUGUACACACCGCCCGUCACACCAUGGGAGUGGGUUGCAAAAGAAGUAGGUAGCUUAACCUUCGGGAGGGCGCUUACCACUUUGUGAUUCAUGACUGGGGUGAAGUCGAAACAAGGUA
rnacentral:rRNA from 1 species